GGCCGCGGAAUUCGAUGCCAUGCAGAUUGGAAUGUCACCAGAGAACCUAAAGAUAUUACCUUGAAACAUAGCGAUGGUGUGGGCUUCUGCUUACCAUGUAUUAGCAAUAAAGCGUUUAUGUUCCGUGGGCCAUGGAUGAAAGGGUUGAUUGUCCCUGUAGAUUGGACAAUAUAUAAGGGUAAGACAACAUUGGUUACUGAUGUAUGGGGUAAAACUUGGGAUGUCGUGAAAGAUGAUAUUCAAAUUAUCUUACAUAAAUCACAACUUAAACUGGCUGAUUACUAUGGGGGAGAUGGCAAGAAAGAUGGAUGGGAAGAAUAUAAAGCAAAGUUUAAAUUGCAUAAAUGUGAAAUGGCUAUAGGCAGUGUUGAGGAUGAUAUCUUUGCAGAUGCUAGUUUGGCAUAUCAGAUGCUCCAAACACUAACGGAUAUUGAAGACUCAGAGCUGUUACAACUAGUUGAUCCAAUCAAUCAGACUAUUAAUAGUAUUGGUAGAGACUUGAAUGUAAUGCUGGAUGUGCUCGGGGUUAAAGAAUCGAACAAUAGUAAAAACCAUCUGCAACAAGCAUUAGACAUUUAUCCUAAUCUAAUUAAUGAUAGUUAUGUACAUGAACAGAUAGAGGAAACGAAAAGUUCUAUUGUUACAAAUGCAAAGGGUGGUAAGAUUACUACCCCAACUAUGCAAUGAAUCACUAGUGAAUUCGCGGCCGCCUGCAGUYACCAUAUGGGAAGCUCCCACGCUUGGAGCAAUCUGAGUAUCUAUAGGCCCCUAAUACUGGCGACCUGGCAACUGUUCCGGGUGAAUGUACGCUCCAUCCCCACAUACACCGACUAAGGUAGGGGGCCAGGGGACACCAUAUGCUGCCCGCCUUCCGAACGCGCCUCUAGACGC
rnacentral:rRNA from 1 species